rnacentral:piRNA from 1 species
CCCUUGAAAACCUCAAGUGUGCAUGGCCC